rnacentral:lncRNA from 1 species
UCAACACCAACAAAUAUCUAUAACCUUUACUGUAGAGAGAGAGAGAGAGAGAGAGAGAGAGAGAGAGAGAAGGGUACUCUCUUUAAUCUAAGGACACUCCGUCACUGCAACUAGAUCAAGUGCAGGUGGCUCCGUGGGAGGAAAUCUUGCUGCCGAAACUCAUUUCGUGCGAAAAUCCCUAAAUUAAAAGGACGAGGUACUGAUCCAUAACCGCUUCCUAUGAAAUGAAGAAGAUUAAAGAGAUAAGGAUUAUGGAAGAUGAGUGGUACAAGAAGGGAUAUACAAGGGCUUGAGAGAAAAACGAAAAUGGAAAAAGAAUGGUGAGUUUUAUUGAACCAAUAUAAUAAGCGGGGUUGGUAUGAAUAAAGAUAGAUUGGAAGAAGAAUUUUACAAGGUAUUGUUAACAAACUUUGGGAUUUUUUUCUAAUAAACUUAUUUUUUAUUUGUUUGCAAUUUGAGAACUUAUUUUGAAGGACGAAAUAAUUUGGAGUUAUUCAGGAAAAGAUUUAGAUUUGAUUUAUAGAAUACUAUAAUAAAACAUAAGGAUUUUUUUUUAUCUUACUGUUCAUUUGGUUCACCAUAUGAAAACUUAUUUUGAACACUAUGAAGUAAUUUAGAGUUGUUUGGGGGAAAAGAUUGGUAUUUGAUUUUACAGAAAAUUAAAAAGAUCAUUCUUUUUUGCAAUUAUUUAUUAAUUUUAAUCAGUUUUUGGGAUGGAAUGGAACAAAUUUAUUAAAACUUCAAAUUAAAGUGCAAAUUUAAUUGUGUUCUAGCCGUAUGAUCAAGAUUACUAUCCAAUCGGGAGAAAAAGAAGUAAAGAUUACAAAGAGGGAAUGGUAGGAUGAAUUUAAAGUUUUCAUGAUUUAGUUUGGAAAGUUUGAUAGUAAUUUAAAGUGUUAGGAUGAUGAUUUAGUAAUUUUUUCCCCUGCAGUACGAGCUUCUAUUUUACUGUCAUGGAUAGGUAAUUAAAUUGUUUAGCCCUGUAUUUGUUUGCUCUUAAUGAGUCAUAUAUGAAAUUCAUCAAUGUGUUGAAGAGGAAAUUUGGAUAUUGCUAUGCAGGUAGUUGUGCAUGGAACACCAUAAGCUGAGUUGUAAGUUAAAUAACUCAAAUAUUUGUUAUUUAAUGUUUGUGUAAACUAAUUCCAUGAAAUUGAAAUCAUAUGCUUGGAAGACUUUGAUCGACAUGUUAGUUUUAAUUUUUUUUUCUAUUGUGAAAGUAAUUGUGUUGAUCAUGUUUUAUUUUAGGAAGACUGAAAGAGUUUCAGAUAAAGAACCUCUGAGGAUAACAGAGAUUAAUUUGAUAGAGCACUAUCUAUUGUGAGUGGAAAUAAACUUACAUAUGACUUUUUCAUGAUUUUAGAAAUUUAAAAUCUAAAAAGAUGGAAUAUGCAAAUUCAUUCUUUUUUUUUAAUAUCAUGUCUUAGUUAUUGGAACUUUUCGAGUGAAAUAUUGUGGUCUAGAAAUAUUAGGGCCAAUAGGGGUAGUGUCUGUUAAUCUCUUAAAUAAGUUUUAGGUGAGAGUAGUGGAAUAGAAUCUGAAUUUUGUAUUUUUAGUACUCAUAUAAUUUGUCUAAGUUCUUAUAUUUUCUUCUUUUCUUUGGGAACACUUAUUAAAACAUUAGUUUGUCUUUGUUUUGGUCACUCUACUUCUAUCCUUAUGCGUGCAUUCAAUAUGUUAGAGUGUCUUUUGUACAUAGAUUAUAUAGGAUGAAGAUAUAUGUUCCUAAAAUCUCCUUAAACUUGAUCUUCAUUUCUCUAGAUAAAUUAAAUGACAUGAAAAAUUAAUUGAUCGGUAAUGUGUAUACAUGCAAUCUUGAGAAGGCAAAGCGACUACUUAUAUGAAGGAGCGCAUUUGUAGACAAUAGAGGUAUAUACGUUGGAUUGUUACACAUUCUGGUCCUCUCUAUUAUAAAUGAAAUUUUGUUUGUUAGUUUGUUUGCAUUUCACAUUAUGUUCAGUUUUAUUUUAUAAUUAGCAGGGAUGCGACUAUUUUAGAAAAUGACAUAAUUAAUUAAUCUAAGAAAUGAGCUAGUAAGAGAUAAUCACGAGAUUUUUACAACUGAAGCCAAUCCAUAAAUUAGUAUUAUUUUCCAUGUGUAUGAAAGGACUUUGGUCCACAUUUCCUGAAUAUCCACAAGCAGCAUUUGAAACACUGCCUACAUAUUUUGCAUAGUUUGGUAUUAUAUUAUGCAUGGUUUAUUAACUAUUUUAACUUAUGCAUUAAAGUAGAAUCUAGAUUUGUUUCAUAAAUUAGUUUGACAAUGCCUGCAGAGAGGAGGAUUUGACUCAAGUAAAUUUGAAAUGAUCUUAGAUGAUUGAUAAAUAUAUAGUAUAUAAAUGGUUCCCUGGGGACAAUUGCAAAAUAUAUGUCCUAUGCUUGUUUGGUACUUGGUGUAUGCUAAAAGAGUGCUAGAGUAUACUAUUACUAUGGUUUUCAAAUAAUGCAUGACCUUGUUCUUGAAGAUGAAGAUGAGUAACAAAUUCAAAGCGAUGAGCAAAAUACUUGAUGGAAUGUUAAGAAGUAAGAAUGUACAAUCCAUCUUCUUGAAGUCUAAAAACAAAUGAAGAUGAAGAAUCAUUUUGUAAUUAUGAAGUUGAACAACGAAUGAACUAACAUUUAUAUUUUAUUACAUGUAUUGUUGAAAGUAUUGGAUUAUUAUUUUAAUAAAAUGAACUUAAUUAUAUUUUUUAGUAAUUGUUUUAAUUUUAUUACACUUCAGUUAUAUAAUUCAUGUAAAAAUUAGUUUAACACAAUGAAAAAAAAGUUUCAUGCUUUCGAGGGACUAUUCAAUAUUUCUGAGGGUUUAAAAUAUAGUUCGAAUCUAAUUUUUCUGAAGGUUACACAUUUUUACCAACAAAUAUAUUUUGUUGGACAUAUACUUCUAUAGAGAAAAUGUUUUUAUUCAUCGUUUAAAUGUAUUUUCCGAUGGAACUUUUUUAUUUUUACUGAGGGAAAUAUUCCUCGGUAAUAAUCCAUUUUUUCAAGGGACCAUCGGAAUUAAAGAAUUAACACGGUCUUCGACGGGCUUUUUCCCUUAUUAAUAAGUAUUACCGAGGGAUUUCCAAAAUUACCGAGGGAAUUUGUCCCUCGGUAAUUCAUGUUUUUAUUAUAGUGUAUCUAUGUGCCUGCGCCCACAGUUUACAAUCUAUUCUAACAACACAUCGUCCUGGUAAAGGUAAUCCAACAUCAGAUUUGUACCUUUUAGGUGGAAUGCCAAUUUCAUCAACUUCAGAUAAGUAUUCUAUGCAUAACUCAAUAGCCUCUUUAGUUAUAUAUGAUUCAGCAAUGCAACCCUCUGGUUUAUCCGAUUUCGUACAUAAUCCUUCAAUAUUUUCAUUUCCCUCUCAAAUGGAUACAUCCAUCGGAGGUAAACAGGUCCAAAAAAUUUGACUUCUCUAACAAGGUGCACUAGCAAGUGAAUCAUAAUAUCAAAGAAAGCUGGCAAGAAAUAUUUCUCUAACAAGCAUAUAGUAUUCACUAAAUCAGCUUGCAUUUGAUCCAAUUUUGACACAUCCACUACUUAGCUGCACAGGUUGCUAAAAAAAGCACGAAAUCUUGUUAUUGCAUAUCUAACAUGUUUUGGUAAUAAGGAUCGUAUUGCUAAAGGAAGCAAUUGUUGCAUUAAAGCAUGACAAUCAUGAGAUUUCAAGCCAUAGAUUUUCAAAUCUUGUAAUGAGAUUAGAUUUUUAAAAUUUGAAUAAUAGCCAUCAAGAACUUUAAGUUCAAACAAUGUCUGACAAAAUUUUUUCUUUUCUUCCCUUGACAAAGUAUAACAUGCAAUAGGCAAUUUUAUUCAUUUUGGCCAACUCUUGGUAGGAAUUCUUUCCUUACACCCACUUCAUCUAGAUCCAUACAAGCUGCAAAACCAUCUUUUGAUUUCCCUGGAAUGUCAAGUAAAGUCUCCACAGGGCUUUCACACACAUUCUUUUCAAUAUGCAUAACAUCAAGGGUAUGUCUAACAUAUAAAGACUUCUAAUAAUCAAGCUAAAAGAAAUAGAUUUUUUCUUUCAACAAACUUUUUCAUUGAUAUCAGUUGUACGACUAUUUGCCUUUUUUUCCAUAACCAGAAAUUUAAUCUUUGAACCCAUGCCAAGAUUUCCUCUCCUUUCAGCGGUUCUGAAGCAAUUUCAAUUUUCUCUUCAUUAUUAAAUGCCUUCUCUUGAAACCAAAUAUCGAUGAUAUCAUGGUAAAAAUCUUCUAUGACCAGUAUAUGACAUCUUUUUACUAUGGCCAAGCCGAACUACAUAUGUUUUUUCACUACAAAUUGGACUUGCUUUAUAUCCUUUUACAGUGCAAUGAACCAAGUUUCCAUAAGCAGGAAAAUCACUUAUCGUCUACAUUAAAAUAGCUUUCAAUAUGAAAGACUCUUGACGAUAAGCAUCAUAAGCUUCAAUGCCUACCUUCUACAAUAUUUUAAGAUCAUCAAUCAAUGGAGCUAAGUAGCAUCAAUAUCAUGUUGGAGAAUUAAUAAAUAAAACUCACAUAAAACACACUAUUUUAUUUCUUCAACAACACUCCUCACCAAUUACAACUCUUAUUUUUCACUCUCUACACCUUAAAGAUUUUGCUACUUCACUUGAUGUUUAAACCAAAGGGGAGAGGGGGUAUUUAUACAUGAAACAAACUAAUCACAACCAUUCAUUUAUUCAACUAAUAAACAAAUUCUCACCAUCCAUUAAAACCUACCACUCACCUACUUCACCAACCACACCUAACACACCUAACACAAAUAAUUCAAACCUCACCAACCAUACCUACUCAUGAAACCUUCCAUGAGUUGGGCUUGAUUUAUUCAUCUUGGAUCAAGUUUAUGAUCCAAUACCUCCCCUUAAACUUGAUCCUGUGACACCAAGCAAACUUCUGAAUCUUACAAAGUCUUCUUGCUUGAGUGGCUUAGUGACGAUAUCAGCUGCUUGAUCUUGUGAUUUUACAUACUUGAUUUGCACUUCUUUUCUUGCAAUACACUCUCUUAUGAAAUGAUAGCGAGUGUCUAUGUGUUUACUUCGAUCAUGAAAGACUGGAUUCUUGGAUAGGGCAAUUGUUGAUUUGUUAUCAACACAAAUCUCGGUUAGCUCUUCUUGUGCCAAACUCAACUCCUUCAGCAAAUUUCUGAGCCAAAUUGCAUGACAAACACUUGAUGUGGCAGCUACAUAUUCAGCUUCAUAGGUGGAUAGAGUGACAAUUGGUUGCUUCUUUGACAUCCAUGCGAAAGCAGUAUCUCCCAUGAAGAACACAAAUCCUGUUGUGUUCUUUCGAUCAUCUACAUCUCCACCCCAAUCGCUAUCGCUAUAUCCAAUAAGCUUGUAGUCAUUAGAAAAUGAGUAUAACAAGCCGAAAUUAAUUGUACCUUUGAUGUAGCGAAGGAUUCUUUUUGUAGCUUUAAAAUGGGUAGUCUUUGGAUUCUCCAUAUAUCGGCUCACAAGUCCAACAGCAUAAAAGAUAUCUGGUCUUGUGCAUGUCAAAUAACGUAGGCUUCCAACCAAACUUUUAAAGAAUGUUGGAUCUAUAUCUUCGCCUUCAUCAUAUUUGGAUAACUUGACUCCGCAUUCCACUGGUGUGUUUAUAGGCUUGCAAUCAUUCAUCUUGAACCUUUUGAGAAUCUCAUUUGCAUAGCUUUCUUGGGAGAUAAAUAUGCCUUCUUCCUUUUGCUUGAUUUCAAUGCCGAGGUAAUAUGCCAUCAGUCCGAUGUCAGUCAUCUCGAACUCUUUGAUCAUCACUCUCUUGAACUCUUCAAAUAAGCUUGGAUUACUUCCAGUGAAGAUGAGAUCAUCCACAUACAGGCACACAAUCAAAAUAUCUCCAUCUUUUUCUUUGACGUACAGAGCAUGUUCAUAUGGGCAUUUAGUGAAGCCUUUCUCUUGAAAAUACUUGUCAAUUCUACUAUUCCAUGCCCUUGGUGCUUGCUUUAACCCGUAAAGAGCUUUCUUCAAUCUCAAAACUUUGUCUUCAUGUCCUUUCACUUCAUAGCCUAAUGGUUGUUCGAUGUAAACUUCUUCUUCAAGGAAUCCAUUCAAGAAAGCAGACUUCACAUCCAUUUGAAAAAUCUUCCAUUUGUUCUGAGCAGCCAAAGAAAUAAUAAGUCUAAUAGUUUCAAGUCGAGCUACAGGAGCAAAUACCUCAUCAUAGUCUAUGCCAGCCUUUUGACUAUAGCCUUUUGCAACUAGCCUCGCCUUGUGCCUUUCAAUUUCUCCCUUCGCAUUUCUUUUUGUUUUAUACACCCAUUUGACACCGAUCGCCUUGUGACCUUUUGGAAGAGUAGUAAGCUCCCAAGUAUCAUUCUUCACAAUAGCUUUGAUUUCUUCAUCCAUUGCAAUUCUCCACUUCUCUUCUAGUGCAGCUUCUGGUUCACAAUCAGCAAAGAGGCAAAAGAGAGUGAGAUUAUCAUGUCUCUCAGUUACCUCAUAGAGAUCUUGAAGACUCCUUGUACGUUCUUCGGUUCUUUCAUUUAAGAAAGACGGCGGUGAAUCUCCGCAUAUGGUUGAUGCUGGUGAGAUAGGUGGAGUAGCAGGCUAUUGUUGUUCAUCUACUUGUUUUAUCUGUGUAUGAUCAUCUUCUUCAAUGGGAAAGAAGUUGAAGUCAUCCACACUAGAGCCAAAAUCCCAUUCUCCUUCUUCAUCAAAAACUACAUCUCGACUGAUCACGAUCUUUCCGUUAUUUGGAUUGUAAAGCUUGUAUCCUUUGGAGUUGUUGUCGUAGCCGAUGAAGAUGAACUUCUCACUUUUGUCAUCCAGCUUGGCUCUACUUUCGUCUGGUACAUGUACAUGGGCAAUGCUUCCGAAAACUCUUAGAUGGGUGAUGCUGGGUUUUCUUCCACUCCAAGCUUCUUGUGGCGUCUUGCCCCACACGCUUCUUGUUGGAGAUCGAUUGGAUAAGUAGACUGCACAUGCAACAGCUUCAGCCCAAAAUUCUUUAGGUAGCCUCUUACUCUUAAGCAUGCUUCUUGCCAUGUCGAGGAUGGUUCUGUUCUUCCUUUCUGCAACACCAUUUUGUUGGGGGGAUCUUGGAACUGUCAAAGGGCGUCGAAUUCCAUUUGCUUCACAAAACUCUAAAAAUUCUUUGGAAGUGAACUCUCCACCUCGAUCAGAUCUCAUGGCUUUAAUCUGGUAUCUGUUGAGUGUUAGAAAAUGCAUAUUUAUAAAGGAGAAAACCGUCAUUUUACAUUUCAAGUCUUAUUAACAACCCUUACUUUUAUGUAUUUAACCUUCUUGUGAUGUAAUUACGUGUGUGUUAUUUUAAUUAAGUAUUUUAUGUAUUUUAGGGGCAUUAUAGUCAUUUCACAAUAAAAGAGAGAUCAGACGGCAAAACGGACAUCACUUUUGAACUCAGGACGGUCGAAAACCUUAGGAAGGGCAUAAAAGGAAAAAUUACACUAUUCACAUGUACGGUACUAUUCACGUGUACGGUACUGUAUACGUUACUGUUCAUGAUACUGUUCACAUAGACGGACGAUGAUGUGGCAUUGACCGAUGAUGUGGCAUUGACUGAUGAGGUGUCACGAUCCUGUUGGACUAAAACUCUUAUGUACUGUUGAUGGUGACGUGGCAGCAUAUCAGUGGACGAAAAAUCUCGCGUACGGUGCAUGCAUCACACAGGAUUAUUUUCAACCAAACCGCGUUACUGUUCAUCCGGGUCAAACCGUGUUACUGUUCAUCCGCGUGGUCAAACUGUGGACUGUUGACUGAUGACGUGGCACAAUCCUAAGCGUCCAAACUGUUUUUAAUCCGAUGGCCAUGAUUUACUCCAUGUAUCUAUAAAAAAGGGGGCCUCUCCCCCCUAAUUUGAUACCUCUGAAUCCAUUUUUGGGAUCCAUUUUCUGUAAUUCCUUCUCCAUCUUGUAUUUUCUUUGUAUUUUAAUAAAUUCCUAUUUUGCCCCUAGUUCAAUUAUGAGUAGCUAAUUUCCUUUCAAGCUUGGGUUGAAGGUGAAGUCUCAACAUGUGUCAUGGGCUUUAUUUGGUAAAUUUAUUUUCUUUUCCCCUCUAGUUUUUGUGGAUGAUUUGACUUAUCGUCGACAAAUAAUACUGAUCUUGUCUAGAUACCGCCUUGGUUACACCGGCUCUCUAGUAUAAGGUUAUUAUUAUUUGGCACGAUAAGCCCUUAGCACCAUAUUGAUUAGAGCGUGGUUCAUGAGGUGUGGAUUCCCCCCUCAUGAUUUAAUUGGCAUUAAUAAGAAAUAUUUAGCCCAUGAUGCAUGUUGAUACGGAUCCAGAUACCCAAGUACGUCAUUUCAAUACAUUUCUCUUCAAUUUAUUCUCGCCAUUGCAAUUCCAAUUUUAGAAUUUAUUCUCGCCAUUUUAAUUUAAGUUUUAGCAUAUUCCAAAUCACUUCCACCAUAAAUCCAACCUCCCAUUUACAAAAUUAAUUCUACACAUAAUUAAAAUCCACCUCCUCGUGGGAUCGACACUCGUCACCAUUGAUCUAUACUACAAUAGAUUCGUGCGCUUGCGAGUACAUUAAAAUUUGCACAACAAGUUUUUGGCGCCGUUGCCGGGGAGGUAAGUAAUUUUAAUUCAUAGAAUUAAUUUUUGUGAAUAAUUUCUUUUAUUUGUUUUCUUGUAUUUUUUUUUCUUAUUAAAAAAAAAAAAAAGAAAAAAAAAGAGUAAAUCUACAUUUAAAGGUUAGUAUUUCUUUUCUUUUUCUCUUCUUUAAAAUUCUGUAAUUUAAUUUUCAAUUUAUUUUUUCUUUGUAAUUUUUGUUUAUUUUAUUAAUUUAAUUUUUAAUUAAUUUAUUUCACGUAUUUAUUUUUGUGUAUUUUUAUAGAAAGGUUGUAAUAGCGCAAUAAGGUUAGUAUCGUAAUUUCUCCCUCUUAUUUAUUUUUAUUUGUUUUGUUCCCAUCUUUAUUUUUAUUUUUAUUUUGCAUGCAUGGUCGUAGGUCAUUAUUACCUAAUCUUGAACCUAUAGACCUUGAAUUAGAAAAAACACUUCGCACACAAAAACACAUUAAAAAUAAAAUUGGAAUGGAUUUACAAGCACCACAGGAGAGGCCAUUUAAGGACUAUUUUAGUCCCUUAGCUAAUUUGAGCACAUCAUGUAUUAGAUACCCAAAUGUAGCUGCUAGGAGCUUUGAACUAAAACCUAGUGUGCUAAAUUGUCUCCCCACAUUCUAUGGCUUAGAAAAUGAGGACCCAUAUAAUCAUCUGAAUGAUUUUCAUACCAUUUGUCAAACUUUUAAAUAUGAAAAUUUUUCAGACGAUGAUGUUAAACUUAGAUUAUUCCCAUUUUCUUUAAAGGAUAGAGCUCGUUCAUGGUUAAAUACUUUGCCUGCUAAUAGCAUUGCAUCAUGGGAACAAAUGGUUACAAAAUUUCUAAAUAAAUAUUUCCCAGUGCAUAAAACCAAUUCUAUUCGCAGGGAAAUUUCAGAGUUUACACAAAGAGAGGACGAGCAGUUUUUCGAAACAUGGGAGCGAUUCAAUGGGCUACUCUUGAAGUGUCCACAUCAUGGGUACGAGAAAUGGCACCAAUGCCAAUACUUUUUGGAGGGAUUAUUGCCGAAUGUGCAAGAAUGGCUAAUGGCAACAAGUGGAGGAGAGCUAAUGUCAAAAAGUGCAUCAGAGAUUUGGGAAUUCUUCCAGCGACAAGCAGAUAAUUCCCAACAAUGGAGUUGAUCACUCAGGAAUACUAGAAGAAUUAAGGGAGUAAAUGAGGUUCAAAUUGGCGAGUCAACUUCGGAAAUCAAAGAAGUCAAGGAGAUGGUUGAAGGUCUUGCUCAACAAAUAGCAUCGUUAUCGACUGCUAAAUCAACAGAAUCACAUGACCAUGACUCAUACUCAGAUCAAGCCAAUGCCAUAGGUGUAAUGAGAAAACCAUCGAAUUACAACCCAUACUCCAACACAUAUAAUCCUGGAUGGAGAGACCACCCCAAUUUUUCAUGGUCUCAAGGAUUCCAACAGAAUGGACCAGCAGCUCCACCAAUGCAACAAAUUCCUCAAAAUCCUCAAGCCUCUCAGCCACCAUUCAGACCAUACAAUCAGAACCAGAACUACUCUCAACCCAGACCAUGGGAGGAUGCAUUCCAGAAUUUCAAGAAUGUUACUCACUCCACGAUUGAGCAACAGAAUCGCACCAUUGAUGGACUACGAAAUGAGUUGAGAGCGGGCUUCAAUUCACAAGCCCAAUCAGUUUCAAGCCUCGAGAAGAUGGUGGGGCAGCUUGCUUCUUCAGUUCAGACCUUGGCAAUGACUAUUGAGAAAGGCAAGUUUCCAAGUCAACCAGUGCCUAAUCCUAAAGGAGUGCAUGAAGCAAGUACCAGUUCACCACAACAGCAUGGAGAGGUCAAAGCAGUCAUGACCUUGCGAAAAGGAAAGGAAGUCGACAAUAAAGUGGAGAUGCCGGUGACAAAAAAAAAUCAAAUUGUACCUGUAAAUGCUGAGGACUCACCACCGGAGGAAAAAGAAGAAACCAACCCACGAGAAUACGUUCCCAAAGCUCCAUUUCCUCAGAGGUUAGCGAAAGGAAAGAAGGGAAAAUUCACAGGUGAGAUUCUCGAAAUCUUCAAACAGGUAAGUGUCAACAUCCCUUUACUUGAUGCUAUUAAACAAGUUCCAUCUUAUGCCAAGUUUCUUAAAGACCUUUGUACUAAAAAGAGAAACAUGCAUGUUCAAAAGAAGGCAUUUUUAACAGAAAACGUUAGUUCUAUACUCCAACAUAAAAUUCCUUUAAAAUGCAAAGACCCAGGCUCCCCCACUAUCUCAUGUAGUAUAGGGAACCACACAAUUGAGAAUGCUUUGUUGGAUUUAGGAGCUAGUGUAAAUUUGUUGCCUUAUUCAGUAUUUGUGAAACUUGGACUGGGAGAAUUACACCUAACUCCAGUGGUGUUACAGCUUGCAGAUCGGUCCACGAAAAUACCUCGUGGUAUUGUGGAGGACGUGCUUAUCCAGGUAGACAAGUUUUAUUUUCCCGUUGAUUUCAUUGUAAUUGACACUCAACCAAUACAGGACUCAAGGAAGCACAUCCCCAUUAUUCUAGGCCGACCUUUCUUGGCAACUGCAGAUGCUCAUAUUCAAUGUAGGACCGGAAAUAUGCAAUUGUCCUUCGGUAACAUGACUAUGGAGCUAAAUAUUUUCAAUAUUGCCAAACAACCUCACAAUGCAGAUGAUGGAAUUGUUGAUGUGGAUUUAAUUGAAGCAUUAGUUGAUGACACUUUUAUUUCAAACCUUAGUGAUGAUCCUUUACAGACAUGCUUAACUCACUUUGGUUUGGAUUUUGAUAUUGACAGAUCAAUCGAUGAGGUCAACGCCCUGCUUGACUCAGCACCAUACAUGGACACUAAUAAAUGGAAGUCAAGAGUUGAACAACUAGCACCAUUAGAGAAGAAACUCAUCCCAUCAUCAGAAUCACCACCGAAACUCGAGCUCAAACCAUUACCCAACACAUUGGAAUAUGCGUUUUUGGGAGAAGAAAGCACUCUACCGGUAAUCAUCUCAUCAUCCCUAAAUGACGAACAAAAAGGUAAGUUGUUGGAUGUGUUAAAAGAGCACAAAGGAGCAUUAGGAUGGACAAUAGCGGACAUAAAAGGUAUAAAUCCAGUAGACUGCAUGCAUUACAUUCACCUUGAUGAAAAUGCUAAAUCUACUAGGGAAAUGCAACGUCGGUUAAAUCCUAAUAUGAAAGAAGUUGUUAGAACUGAAGUCCUUAAGCUAUUAGAUGCAGGUAUCAUUUACCCAAUUUCUGAUAGUUCAUGGGUCAGUCCUGUACAAGUCGUCCCCAAAAAGUCAGGAGUCACAGUAGUUACCAAUGCUGAUAAUGAAUUGAUACCAACUAGAGUAACUACAGGAUGGCGUGUAUGCAUUGAUUAUAGAAAGUUGAAUUCUGUCACACGUAAAGACCAUUUUCCUUUACCAUUUAUCGAUCAAAUGCUUGAUAGAUUAGCAGGCCACGAAUUUUAUUGCUUUCUAGAUGGCUACUCAGGAUAUAAUCAGAUUCCCAUAGCACCAAAAGAUCAGGAGAAAACUACUUUCACUUGCCCUUUUGGCACUUUUGCAUAUAGGAGAAUGCCAUUUGGAUUAUGUAAUGCACCUGCUACAUUCCAACGAUGCAUGUUGAGCAUUUUUUCUAAUAUGGUUGAACGAUUCCUUGAAGUCUUUAUGGAUGAUUUUUCUGUCUUUGGUGACUCGUUUGAUCAAUGUUUACAUCAUCUAACGCUAGUUCUGCAGAGAUGUACCGAGAAGAGCUUAGUCUUGAAUUGGGAGAAGUGCCAUUUUAUGGUAAAACAAGGUAUUGUUCUCGGUCACAUCAUUUCGAGCAAAGGUAUUGAGGUUGACAAAGCCAAGGUGGAUCUCAUUUCUAAUCUUCCUCCACCUAAAACAGUCAGAGAAGUAAGAUCUUUCCUUGGGCAUGCUGGUUUCUAUAGACGUUUCAUUAAAGAUUUUAGCAAAGUUUCUAGACCCUUAUGCAAUUUACUUGCUAAGGAUGUACCUUUUAUCUUUAAUGAUUCAUGUCUUAUGGCUUUUGAAAAAUUAAAGCAAUUGUUGACAUCAUCACCUAUCAUUCAGGCCCCAAACUGGAGCUUACCAUUUGAGCUCAUGUGUGAUGCAUCUGAUUAUGCAGUAGGAGCAGUAUUAGGACAAAGAGUUGAUCGAAUUCCCCACGUUAUUUACUAUGCUAGUAUGACAUUGAAUGAUGCACAGUUGAAUUAUUCAACUACUGAAAAAGAAAUGCUAGCAGUAGUGUUUGCAUUAGAGAAAUUUCGAUCUUAUCUCAUUGGUUGUAAAAUAAUUAUAUUCACAGAUCAUGCUGCUCUUAAAUAUCUUCUCACAAAGAAAGAUGCAAAAGCUAGACUAAUUCGUUGGGUGUUACUUUUGCAGGAAUUCGACUUGGAAUUCAUGGAUAAGAAAGGCACAGAAAAUGUUGUGGCGGACCACCUCUCUCGUCUCCAUUUUGACACAAUUACAGAGCCAUUAAUAUUAAAUGAGUCAUUUCCAGAUGAACAAUUAAUGAAUGUGGAAGUAUUACCUUGGUAUGUUGAUAUAGUUAAUUAUCUUGUUACAGGUAAACUUCCAGAGCAUUGGACCAAGCAAGACAAGGCUAAAUUCUUUGCAGAAAUAAAGAAUUUCUUUUAGGAUGACCCAUAUUUGUUCAAGUAUUGUGCAGACCAAAUUGUUAGACGAUGUGUCCCUGAAAAUGAAAUUCAGAAUAUUCUUUCAUUCUGCCAUGCACAAGCUUGUAGAGGCCACUUCAGUGCUAAGAAAACCGCGACUAAAGUUUUACAAUGUGGUUUUUAUUGGCCAACUAUAUUUCGAGAUGCUUACACUUUAUGUUCUUCAUGUGAUAGGUGUCAACGAAUGGGGAGCAUUACACGAAGGAACAUGAUGCCACUAAAUCCAAUUUUAGUGGUUGAGAUUUUUGACGUAUGGGGUAUCGACUUCAUGGGACCCUUUCCUCCGUCUUUUGGUCAUCAAUACAUAUUGGUUGCUGUUGACUACGUAUCGAAAUGGGUGGAAGCAAUUCCAUGCAGAACCAAUGAUCACAAAGUGGUGAUAGGAUUUUUGAAAAGCAACAUUGUUUCACGCUUUGGAUUCCCUCGAGCGAUAAUCAGUGAUGGUGGUGCCCACUUUUGUAACAAAGCAUUCAAGGCUCUUUUGACAAAGUAUUCAAUCACACACAAAGUGGCGACCCCGUAUCAUCCGCAAACCAGUGGCCAAGUUGAGAUCUCCAAUCGAGAAAUAAAGCACAUAUUAGAAAAGACGGUGAGGCCAGACAGGAAAGAUUGGUCAUUACGACUUGAUGAUGCAUUAUGGACAUAUAGAACGGCUUUCAAGACCCCGAUUGGGAUGUCACCCUACAGGCUAGUGUAUGGAAAAGCUUGCCACCUACCUGUGGAACUCAAGCAUCGUGCAUAUUGGGCCAUCAAGAAAUUCAACUUUGACAUGCAGCAAGCCAGCUCAGAAAGAAGAUUACAGCUGGCAGAACUUGAAGAAAUUCGCAAUGAUGCAUACGAAAAUGCCAAGAUUUACAAGCAACGAAUGAAAGUCUUCCAUGAUAAGCAAAUUAUGAGAAAAUCGUUCACUCCAGGUCAGAAAGUGCUUUUAUUCAAUUCUCGCUUGCACCUAUUCCCAGGUAAGUUACGCUCUCGUUGGUCUGGCCCAUUUAUUGUACAUACUGUUUUUCCACAUGGGGCAAUUGAAAUUAAGGACCCAAAGAACGGUGUCACGUUUAAAGUUAAUGGUCAAAGAUUAAAGCCAUAUCUAGAGUACCAACCACAUGGAGAAAACAUCGAAAUAAAUUUGAGUGACCCACCAAAUUUGAAUUGAUUUUUUUUCUUUUCGUUGAUUUGAUUUUUCUUUAUUUCUUUUUAUUAUUAUUAUUUUGCUAAUUGAAAUUGUUUUUGCAUAAGUGUGUUUAUUUUACCAUUAAGUUUUCUCUUAUCAUUUUUAAUCAUGAGUCUCAUACUUAGACCGUUCCUCCUGAACAUUCUUAAACCACUUCAACGUGUCAAAACUCAUCUCAAAAGGCAGAUUCUAUUUUGUAAAACACAACGCAUUUGGGCUCUACAACCACCAGAGUUAGUAGCCUAUGUUGAGGGUUUAGAACGCCAACUCAGAGACAUUGAGAGAAGUGUUUACGACAUCCAGUUGGAGCUUGAGGUAAAUUCAAUAAGAGGACGAUUUUAAUUUUCUUUGUGUGUUUUAAUUUGUUUUUCUGUUUGUGUGCUUUAGUUUGUUACCCCGGUGAAGUGGCGGAUAACGGUACUCCGUGACAAUCAAGUCGGUUAACUUCAGUUUCCCAUAAUAACUGAUAUUCUGAGGCGAAGGUAUGGACAGAAACGAGAUUCUAGCGAAGCUUCACAAGCGAUUCCCUUCACUUCCUCAGAAUGCCCUCCUUACGAUCUAUAAAGCCCGGUCUGAACGCAUGCGAUUGCUCAUGAGGAAUAACAUACCUGCAGACAUCCGUUGGUUAAUCGAGGCUAAAGUACGAUUGGCAGGUGAGUUACCUCCUAAAUUUAUUGCAUACAUGCCUGGUUGUGGUAAAGGAAAUUACGCAAGAAAACGACGAGCUCGAAGAAUUUCUGUUGCUGCUUGUCAUAAGUGUGCCAGAAUGAGUUGCGAUAAAAACCCAUGUUCUUUAGGAAUGGUGUCUGAUAACAGGGAAGAUAAGAUUCAAUUCAUUAGGGAUGGCUUGAAUAAGAAGUCAUUGGAUGAUAUCCUUUUGUCUCUUGAAACGCAUCCCAGUGGAUAUGUGCAAGGAGCGAUUCUCCAGUUAAGGCCAUUAUUCCAAAAAGAGCAUGCAUGAUAUAGUCUCGGGAAUCUGACUAUAAACGACCCUGUUUGCCAGUUUAUAAGAAAACUGGAUGGGAAGCCCAUCCUCGACCCAUAGAGGGCGUUCAAGCCGUUUCUGGACGUAAAACCAGAGGAAGAUGUGAGCCACAGUCGCAACUACCUGUAAAUAUCCUUUUACUUUACUGUUGUUUUAUUUUACUGUUGUUUUAUCGUUUGCAUUAUUGCCUUUAAUAAUUUUAUUACUGUUUGCUUUUUCCUUUUUACUGUUUCCUUUUUGACUCGCGAGCCACGUGCUUUACGCGUUAUUUGACACUGACAUGUUACCUCAUUCACAGCUGUGAUCCACUGUCACCAAGAUUCUUAAAUGUGAUUUAUCUUUUGUCAAGCACUCACAAAUUAUUUUUGAGAAGUAUCACAAUGGCAGCUACUCCCAAUAGACAAUUCAAGAACAUUUGUGUGCUUUCUGGAUUUACCUAUGGCAAACAUAAAGAGUCCGUGGAGGCAGCCAUAGAUCUUGGUCGAAGCAUAGCAGCGAGAAAAUUACACUUGGUGUAUGGAGGAGGUAACCGAGGAUUAUCAAAAAUGGUCUCAGAAGCAGCUUUUAUCAGAGGAAGUCAAGUGUUAGGCAUCAUCCCAAGAGUCCUAAAACCAUUGGGCAGUUCGUCUGACUCAUCAACUGGAGAAGAGUUAGUUGUCUCAGGUAUGCAAGAAAGAAUAACUGAAAUGCUUAAUCAUGCUGAUGCUUUUAUUUUCCUUCCAGGAGAUCUUGCAACACUAGAGGCACUUAUGACACUAGCAUCUUGGGCCCAUCUUCACAUCCACCAGAAACCUAUCGGUUUGUUAAAUGUCAAUAACUUUUAUGAUGGCUUUAUCGCAUUUCUUAACCAUGCAAUAAAAAACUAUUUCAUUCCUUCUAAUGUGAAAAAAUUUUUUAUUUGUGCUCACACUGCUAAUGAGUUACUUGAUAUGUUACAAGCUUAUAAACCGGAGCCAGACCCCUGGACCUUUGUGUUGGAGCGACCACAUAAUGAUGGUAACAGUAGCCGCAGUAAGAAGUACAAAUUAGAUUUAACUCUCCGCCUGUAAAUAUUUUCUUCUGUGUUGCACCACCCAGGUGAUGUCUUCUAAACUCUACUUCUUUCCUUUAAAACAUUGAGGACAAUGUUUCGUUCUGGUUGGGGGGAGGGAAUAGUCGACAAUUGUGGAAUCUUGGUUAAGUUUUUACUGAUUUUUUGUUGUAGAAACUAACUGUUGCUAACAUUUUGUGUUGAAGAUGGCUGAAUAUGGAGUGUAGUUACUCUAGAAACGCAUCUUCAUCGUUUAAAAAAAAAAAAAAAAACUCGUUUUCUUCCUCUUUCUCCUUUAUAAAUAUGUAGUUUCAAAUUUUUGAGUCGAAGAUGGCUGAAUAUGGAGUGUAGUGCCUCUAGAAACGCAUCUUCUUAGUUAAAAAAAAAAAAAAAAAAACAAUUCUUUUUGUAAUUAAUUUUUCUACAUCAUUUUCACAUUUCUGCAUGCAUAUUUUCCUUUCAUGUUUAGAAUAGGUUGGGGGGUAGAAUGUUGUUUAAAAAAAAAAAAAAUUGUGUUAUUUGUUUUAACAUUGGAUGACAUGAUUAAUUUCAAAUUUUAGUAUUUGUAUUAUCUUUGGUCUUAAGUGAUGUUACGCUAUGUUUGCUACUUUACAUGUUGAUGUCGGAGACAAAUAUGAGUUGCUUGAAGGAAUGAACAUGUCAUAAAUAAGUGCCAAGUGAGUUGUUGAGCCUAUCAUUUUCUUGGAGAGUAACCCUUUUGCCCAUUUUCUAUACAGCUUAGCAGUUUAUUAUUUUAUACACGAUCUCUAGAUUUCUUUUGAGUUAACCCAAUAAAAAAAAUGGUAAUAAAAAAAAAAAAUGUGUGCUACUACAUUGAGAGGCCCAUCUAACUAGUAGAUAUGGAUAAUUAUUUAGAGCCCUAAAAGACGAUGGAAAGGCCAUCUUUGAUCCGUUUGAGCCUUUCUAGCCAUCCCUUUUAUUAAAUAUCCAUAGUUACCCCUUUUGAGCCUUUAAAAAAAAAAAAAAAAAAAAAAAAAAAGAACAAAAACCUUUUCUUUGUCAACUUAUCAUCUUGACCCACUCCGAUUUGGAGUAUUACCCAAUGUCUUUUAAGUUCCAUCACCUAUUUAUGUUUGAGAAAAUGUAAAUAAUUAUGUUGUUAAGUGAAGUUAUGCCAAAUAAAAGCAAAAAAAAAAAAAACAAAACAAAAACAAAAACAAAAACAAAAGUUGUUGUUUCAAAAGAAUAAAAUAACAAUAAUAGGUGAAAUCUACCUUGCAACUUCAAAAAAAAAAAUUAUUUCUGCAUUUUUCUCAAACAUACACUGUGUUUUCCUUAUUUCCUUUCUUUGUUAGCCAUAUCUCUAGCCUACGUUACGUCCUAAUAAAAGUCCUUCUUGAUUUUAGGGAACUAUAAUUUGAAGUAGAAGCUAGUUAUAUGGGCUAAAAAGAUGUAGUGAUGCAUAAUAAUAAUAAUAAAAAAAAAGAAAAGAUAAAUAAAGUGGGUUGACUAACAUUUUAUUUGACUUGAGAUCGUAUUAUUUCUAAGCUAAGGGCAUAUUUAUUUCAUCUUGGUGAGAGCAUGUGAUAUCACUUCUUUAUUAUUUUCUCUCUCAAUUACCAUUCAUUGGAAGUGACUAUUUUUAUUGGGUUUAAUUUAUUUGUGAGAGUGUCAUUACUUCCAGUGAGAUUUUGGGGUUUGACAUGUCAUUCUUGAAAGUAGCUAUAACAAAGUCUACUGGGCCGAUUCAUGUGGAUGGUUGAUGUGGGUGUGAUAUUGCUUUAGGCUGGAGAUAAUGCUUAUACUUUUAUUUGAUUGCUAUCAUUAAUCUGAUUGAAUAAACACGAGUAGUUCAAAAAAAAAAAAAAUUGAAUUUGAAUUUUGUUUUCGCUUUAUUUGCUAGGGACUAGCAAUAAGCUGGUUGGGGGGUGUGUUGAGUGUUAGAAAAUGCAUAUUUAUAAAGGAGAAAACCGUCAUUUUACAUUUCAAGUCUUAUUAACAACCCUUACUUUUAUGUAUUUAACCUUCUUGUGAUGUAAUUACGUGUGUGUUAUUUUAAUUAAGUAUUUUAUGUAUUUUAGGGGCAUUAUAGUCAUUUCACAAUAAAAGAGAGAUCAGACGGCAAAACGGACAUCACUUUUGAACUCAGGACGGUCGAAAACCUUAGGAGGGGCAUAAAAGGAAAAAUGGCACUAUUCACAUGUACGGUACUAUUCACGUGUACGGUACUGUAUACGUUACUGUUCAUGAUACUGUUCACAUAGACGGACGAUGACGUGGCAUUGACCGAUGAUGUGGCAUUGACUGAUGAGGUGUCACGAUCCUGUUGGACUAAAACUCUUAUGUACUGUUGAUGGUGACGUGGCAGCAUAUCAGUGGACGAAAAAUCUCGCGUACGGUGCAUGCAUCACACAGGAUUAUUUUCAACCAAACCGCGUUACUGUUCAUCCGGGUCAAACCGUGUUACUGUUCAUCCGCGUGGUCAAACUGUGGACUGUUGACUGAUGACGUGGCACAAUCCUAAGCGUCCAAACUGUUUUUAAUCCGAUGGCCAUGAUUUACUCCAUGUAUCUAUAAAAAAGGGGGCCUCUCCCCCCUAAUUUGAUACCUCUGAAUCCAUUUUUGGGAUCCAUUUUCUGUAAUUCCUUCUCCAUCUUGUAUUUUCUUUGUAUUUUAAUAAAUUCCUAUUUUGCCCCUAGUUCAAUUAUGAGUAGCUAAUUUCCUUUCAAGCUUGGGUUGAAGGUGAAGUCUCAACAUGUGUCAUGGGCUUUAUUUGGUAAAUUUAUUUUCUUUUCCCCUCUAGUUUUUGUGGAUGAUUUGACUUAUCGUCGACAAAUAAUACUGAUCUUGUCUAGAUACCGCCUUGGUUACACCGGCUCUCUAGUAUAAGGUUAUUAUUAUUUGGCACGAUAAGCCCUUAGCACCAUAUUGAUUAGAGCGUGGUUCAUGAGGUGUGGAUUCCCCCCUCAUGAUUUAAUUGGCAUUAAUAAGAAAUAUUUAGCCCAUGAUGCAUGUUGAUACGGAUCCAGAUACCCAAGUACGUCAUUUCAAUACAUUUCUCUUCAAUUUAUUCUCGCCAUUGCAAUUCCAAUUUUAGAAUUUAUUCUCGCCAUUUUAAUUUAAGUUUUAGCAUAUUCCAAAUCACUUCCACCAUAAAUCCAACCUCCCAUUUACAAAAUUAAUUCUACACAUAAUUAAAAUCCACCUCCUCGUGGGAUCGACACUCGUCACCAUUGAUCUAUACUACAAUAGAUUCGUGAGCUUGCGAGUACAUUAAAAUUUGCACAACAGUAUCCACUUUCUUUUUCCACUGCAACUUUAAACUUCUUGAAAGCUUCAAAGACUUCUGAUUUUUGCUUCAAAAAAUACACCCAAGUUUUUCUUGAAAAAUCAUCUAUGAAGAGAAGGAAGUAGUUACUUUUACCAAGGGAGUUUGGCUUGAAUGGACCGCACACAUCAGUAUGAAUGAGCUCGAGUGGCUUCUGAGCUCUUGAGUUUGACUCCUUUGGAAAGCUCUUUCUAAACUGCUUGCCAUGUAAACAUCCUUCACAAAGUUGAUCAGGGUGAUUGAUGUAUGGUAAGCCUUUCACCAUGUUCUUCUUAGAUAGUAGCUCCAGUCCUCCAAAGUUGAGAUGCCCAUAUCGAAGAUGCCAAGUCCAGGAUUGAUCUUUGUGACAAGCUUUGAGACAUUUUGCAACAUCAUUUUGAAUAUUUAAAGGAAACAUUCUAUUCUUUGACAUUCUCACCUUUGUAAUUAGAUUUCCUUUGUCAUCUCUUAGGAAAAGACUAUAAUCUUUUAAGUGAAUAUCAUAGCCUUUUUCUAAAAGUUGACCUAAACUAAGAAUGUUGCUUUUCAUAUUGGGCACAUAGUAAACAUUCGAAAUUAUUUGGUGACUACCAUCUUUUGCACGAAAAAGAAUGUUACCUCUACCCUUCACUAGUACUUUUGAAUCAUCUCCAAAAGCGACACUGCCAUUCACAUAUUCACUUAGUUGCACGAACAUGCUUAUGUUUCCACUCAUAUGAUUGCUAGCACCUGUGUCAAGAUACCAUGUAUUUUCUUGACCUCCACUUGUGUCAUUGCGUGCUAGUAAAAGUGUGCCAUCUUCACUAUUUUUCUCUUCAGCAUAAUUCACUCUCUCUUCAAUUCUGGUGCUUGGAGCUCUGCAUUCUGAAGCAUAAUGCCCAAACUUUUGACAAUUAUAGCACUGUACUUGGGAUUUGUCAUACCUCGAUCUUGGAUUGCCUCUGCCUCGUCCUCUGGUUGAGCUUUCUCCUUUGGCAUAAUUGGAGUUGUUGUUGUUGAAAUUCCAACCUCAUCCAUGACCACGACCUCUACCUCGUCCUCGACCUCUACCUCAGACAUAGUGUCUUCUCUCGUUGUCGGAGCUUUCUUCUCUUUUCUUUGGAUUGACUUCCAUCUUGAGAAGUUGUUCUUCGAUUCCUUGCUUCUUUUUUUGUUUUUCUUCAUAGGCUUGUAACCUUCCUUGAAGUUGCUCGAUCGUCAUAUCCUCAAAAUCUCUUGUUUCUUCAAUUGUCACAACAAUAUGGUCAAACUUCGAGUCUACUGAUCGAAGUAUCUUUUCAAUGAUCCUUACCUCUUUUAACUCCUUGCCAUUUCUUUUUAACUCAUUGGAAACGGUCACAACCCGAGUAAAGUAGUCAGAAAUUGACUCUGAUACCUUCAUAUGUAAGGACUCAAAUUCUCCUCGUAAUGUUUGGAGACAAACCUUCUUUACUUACUCCGCUCCUUUGUAAGAGGUCUCUAGUUUCUCCCAUGCUUCUUUUGAGGAGGUUGUACCAGCAAUCUUUUCAAAAGCAUCUUCAUCUAAUGAUUGAAAGAUGAGAUACUUUGCUUUAUUCUCUUUUUUCUUCAAGUCUUUUAAAUUCUCCUUCUGCGCCGUAGUUAAAGUGGCUUCAUUUUCUGGCACAAUAAAGCCUUUCUCCACGACAUCCCAUACAUCAUGUGCACCCAAUAGAGCCUUCAUUUUAAUACUCCAAUUGUCAAACUUACUUCCCUUUAAUUGUGGAACUUGAAAUGACAUCAUACCACCGUUUGCCAUAACUCACAAAUUGAGUGAGAAUUUGGAAAUUCUGAAAGUACAGAUGGAUCCGGCACGUCGAAAAACCUUAGGAAGGACUCGAGUCAACUUUCGGUCAACGGUCAACGUCGGUCAACGGUCAACGCCGGCUUGGUAGUCUUGGUUCGGUCCGGAUUGGUUUAGCUCGAGUUGGCUCGGUUCGACUUGAUUCGGUUCAGCUCGGCUCGGCUUGGUUCAGUUCGGCUCAGCUUGGUUCAACUCGGUGAGUCGACUCAGCUUCAGGACAGAAACAUUCCGGCGGCAGGUGUGGGCGCGUCCGGUCUCGGAUCGGGAUGAGUUUUACAGCGUCACGUUCCUCUCGUCGAGAUCUUCGAUUUGAUAUGCUAUAUGACCAUAUAUAGCAUCAAGUACUGGCUCUGAUACCACUUUGUUGGAGAAUUAAUAAAUAAAACUCACAUAAAACACACUAUUUUAUUUCUUCAACAACACUCCUCACCAAUUACAACUCUUAUUUUUCACUCUCUACACCUUAGAGAUUUUUCUACUUCACUUGAUGUUUAAACCAAAGGGGAGAGGGGGUAUUUAUACAUGAAACAAACUAAUCACAAUCAUUCAUUUAUUCAACUAAUAAACAAAUUCUCACCAUCCAUUAAAACCUACCACUCACCUACUUCACCAACCACACCUAACACACCUAACAUAAAUAAUUCAAACCUCACCAACCAUACCUACUCAUGAAACCUUCCAUGAGUUGGGCUUGAUUUAUUCAUCUUGGAUCAAGUUUAUGAUCCAACAUAUCAUUGCCAGGUUGUUUGGGACCUGAAAUUAACAAUGUCAGCAUCAUAAAUUUCCUUUUCAUACAAAGUAAUGGAGGAAGAUUGUAUGUUACUAGUAUCACUGGCCAACAACUAUACCUACUACUAAGAGAAUUAUAUGGAUUAAUCUUGUCUGCAGAUAAUGCAAGUCGCAAGUUCCUUGGUUCAACUCCAAAAUCAAGCCAUAAAUGAUCUAUUAGUUUCCAUGCUGGGGUGUCUGCAGGACGACAUAAUAGUCCAUUGGUUUCCCUUUAAGUGGCAUACCAUGUUAGAUUUUUCAAAGUUCAACACUUUGAAACAUUCUUUUAAAGCUUGGGAUAGCUGGGAAAUACCAUAAAACCUUUGUUGGAAUACCAUUCUUCAUCUCAGUUAAAUUUUUUUUCAGCUUCUACCUUGUUGCACCACAUGUCAUGACCUAACCCAGACCUGGCAAGAUAUUGUCUGCUUUGGGCCUUAAAAAGGCUGCACGGUUUUGUUCCUGGAGCGCUCAUACACCCAAAACGCGUCUUGCUAAUUAAGGUGUGGAUCACCCCUUAUAAACUCAGCAUCUCUCCCAUGCUUUACCGAUGUGGGAUUCACCUAGGGUGUUACAUACACCCCCUUAGGAACUUAGCGUCCUCGCUGAGGUUUGCCCUACCAUCGCUCAAGAGGACACGCGGAGCCGCUCUGAUACCAUAAUGUCAUGACCCCACCAAGACCUGGCAAUAUAUUAUUAGGCCUUAAAAAGGCCCGAAUGGUUUUAGGGUGCCCAUACACCCCAAAACGAGUCUUGCCAAUUAAGAUGUGGAUCACCCCUUAUAAAACCCAGCAUCUCUCCCGUGCUUUGCCGAUAUAGGAUUCGCCUAGGGUUUUCCACCACAAUUAGGACAUAUAAUAGCAUCUUUAUAGUCCUUUCUAAAAAGUAUACAGUCAUUUGGACAUGCAUGUAUCUUCUUAUACUCCAUCCCUAAUGCAUUUAAGGUUUUUUUUUUUUGCCUCGUACAUUGAUUCUCUUAACAAUUUCAACAAAUCUGAAAAGCCUCGGUCUGACCACCCAUUUCUUGCUUUUAAGUUGUACAAUUUUACCAAUGCAGAUAAUUUUGUGAACUUACUACACCCUAGGUAUAACUUUUUCUCAAUAUCAGCCAAUAAUUUCUCAAAUUGUUUAAGGUUGUUUUCAAAAUAAUCAUAAGCUCCUUGAAUCAUCUCUAUAGUGCUGGGCACAGAUUCAGUUUCAAAGGCUUUUGUUUCAAAUUCUCUUGCAGAUGGAGUGUUGGUAGUAGUUGAUAACUUCUUAACAAGGUUCUCUCCAUGCAAAAUCCAAUUAUUAUAACUUUGGUCUAUACCAUUCAAAUACAAAUGGCCCCUAAUCUCAUCAACAGUCUGAUGUUUCACAUUUCCACAUUUCAUUCAUACAUGGACAUAAUAUGUGAUUAGAAUUUGUUGCAUGAACCGUUGCAAAAUUUAUAAAUCUUUCACCACCAAUCUCAUAAUCUUUUGAUCUUCGAUCCAUAGACAUCCAAGAUUUGUCCAUUCUGAAUGUAAAAUAUAAAUAUAUCAUUCUCAGAUUUACUAAAUCUGUGCCAAGGUGGUUUGUGUUGAAAAGUCAAGCAUGCAAAUUUCAAGCACAUAAUUGUUGAGCUAGCAUGAUCUAAUUUUAUGUGUUAGCAUGAUCUCUUCACCAAAAGUCACACCGAAGCCAUUAAAAUUGAAAAAUGGGUAAGAUUUGUCCAUGCAUUCAUAUUGUAUGCUUUGCCUUUAAAUAGAGAAGCAAAAUUUAUUUGUAAUCCCAUCCCAAUUUGAGAGAAGUAGAUUGCAAUUGCAAGUCAAGCAAUUUGAGAGAUUUGAGAGAGCUUCCACUUGAGUGUUCUAGUGAGGCUCCAUUUGGGUGUAUUGGUGUUAGAGUGCAAUUUAUGCACUAGUUUUGCAUUGUUUACCUCUCUUAAUAUCGAUGUUUUGCACUUAAUAAUAGUGAUUUACUUGUGUUUUACUUUUGUAGGUGCAAUUCUAUUGAUUAGUGAUAAAAAUGAGCUACAAGAUGAUGUUUAAGGAUGAUUGUUCUCUUGGAGAAAUUAUGAGCGGCAAAAGAACUUUGUUGAUAAGGCGUGGGCGCGUGCUAUCAACUGCGAACCUGCAGUUUUUAGUUUAACGUGUUUUGUAUUUUUGGUUAUUUUUUUAAUUACGAAUUUAAUAUUUCAGAUAUUAGUAUUUUAUUUUAAAUAGAAUUCUAAAGGAGAAGAGAGAGAGAGUAUUUAAGAGAGGAAUCUAUUGUGAAAAAGGGGGAUUAGAGAAAAAGAAAGAAACCCUAGAUCUUAAUUUUUCUCUUCUCUCUAUGAAGAACUAAACCUAUUUUUCUGGUUGAAGGAUAAUGAAGC